rnacentral:lncRNA from 1 species
GGCAUGUUUACGGGCCCGAUCGAGCAUCUCAUCAUAAGUAUUCGAGAAAUUUUUAUUCAAAAAAAAAAUCAAAUGAUCGCUCUGGAGUCUCCUUUUCAAAGCAGACAUGGUAACUAAUUUAUUAAAAUUUUUUACCUCUAGGGUGGCUACGUUGAAACGAGCUACGUAUUUUUGGAGAUCUUCUUGUUUCUACUGCUGAAUAGAGAAG